AGCUGCUGAGGCGAUUGGUUUCCUAGGGCAGAAGAUACCUGUUAAUAGUUUCUUAGAGUAUCUUCAAGUUUCUAGAAGUAUCAUACCAGAAAGAAGGGAUCGUUUGAGCAGUCUGCCUGUAGAGACCUAUAGAGAGAUUGAAGCUUAAGAUGCUGUCCCUGUGGCAGUGAUCACCAGAACAGUAAUGUGGUUCAGAGACUAACAAAGAACGCUGGGAGUGCGGAUAAGAAGACUGGUGGCUGGUGUGAUUUCCUGAGGACAAGAUGUAAAGAGAGAAAUGAAUGAAAGUGAAGACAUCUGCUGAGGAAACACUGGAGAAAUCUGGGGAAAGUAUUGCAGGUGGUGUGUUACAGGAGUGACUGGAAUGCCAGUGGGCAAGAAGUUUGUAAGAACUGAGUUAUCAACUGCGUGAAAGGGAACCAACAGAAU